rnacentral:rRNA from 1 species
GACGAACGCUGGCGGCGUGCUUAACACAUGCAAGUCGAACGGAAAGGCCCUGCUUUUGUGGGGUGCUCGAGUGGCGAACGGGUGAGUAACACGUGAGUAACCUGCCCUUGACUUUGGGAUAACUUCAGGAAACUGGGGCUAAUACCGGAUAGGAGCUCCUGCUGCAUGGUGGGGGUUGGAAAGUUUCGGCGGUUGGGGAUGGACUCGCGGCUUAUCAGCUUGUUGGUGGGGUAGUGGCUUACCAAGGCAUUGACGGGUAGCCGGCCUGAGAGGGUGACCGGCCACAUUGGGACUGAGAUACGGCCCAGACUCCUACGGGACGCAGCAGUGGGGAAGAGUGCACAAUGGGCGGAAGCCUGAUGCAGCCACGCCGCGUGCGGGAUGACGGGCUGCGGGUAGUAAAGCGCUUUCGCCUGUGACGAAGCGUGAGUGACGGUAAUGGGUAAAGAAGCUCCGGCUAACUACGUG